rnacentral:tRNA from 1 species
GCGCGCCGCCAGCGCGGUCGAGCGCUCGACCAGCUCCUGCCGGGUCUCGAUCCCGUAGAUCGUGCCCUGCGGCGCGUU